CGGGCCGGAGGGGAAAGAGGGAGGGUGUGGUCACAUGACUGAAUCCACAGGUUUCGAGAGAAAAGGAGCAGGUAGGGGAAUAGUCAAUUAGGUAUUUGACUUGUACUCAGUAAAUCCUCACUUGACGUAAGAUAGAGUGAACAUAGCUACCUGUGGAGAUAGCUGGCCUUUUUUUUUUUUUGGACAGGAUCUCACGCUUACCCAGGAUGGAGUGCAGUGGUGUGAUCUUGAUCUUGGCUCACUAAAGCCUCAGCCUCCCGAGUAGCUGGAACCACAGGUGUGUGCCACCACACCCAGCUAAUUUUGGUAUUUUUUGUAGACAGAGGUUUCAUCAUGUUGCCCAGGCUGGUCUCGAACUCUUGGGCUCAAGCAGUGCUUCCACCUCGGCUUUUUAAAGUGCUGGGAUUACAGGCGUGAGCCACCACGCCCGGCCUGUCUGGUCCUUUCUCUGUAGCUGUCUGCUUAAGAACAUAAGGAAACGCAGCUUCUUGCAUGACUCUAUUCUCAUCUUAACUAUUUUCUUUUAGCACGGUGAAUUACGGUCCCAAGUUUUUAUUUUCCUUUCACACUGGACACAAAAAAAAGCAAAAACGGAAAUGCAAAACAGAAGUUGCGGCACCGAGUCCAGUAACUAAGGAGAAAAUCACCUCUUUGCAGACGGCCUCUGACUCCCUGCCCUCCCCCUGUGCCAGCAAAGCCCUCUGAGGCCAUUCAUCCCUGAGUGCUGACCACAGUGCUGUCACCAUCAUCUCGCCCUGAAGGGAGGUCACACUAUCCCUUCGAGAUGGGAACCAACUCCUUUGGCUGUCCCUGGCUCCCAGUGGUGGCUGAACCAGAGGGCAGGGGCCAGGGCAGCAGCAGAGCCAAGUGCGCCCACUGGGGCCGAGGGGCUCUGGCCACCAUGUCCGUCGGGGAAGAUGUUGGGGAGGGCCCUGGCCUUGCAGCGAGGGGACAGACAGACAGUCUGCCACUUCCUAUCACAGUCACAGGUGGGGACAGUGACCCUCCCCUUCCAGGUGAGGCUACAUUUGGAGGCUGAGGAGCACAUGAAAUGUGGGUCCCCGGCGGUGCUGAGGCCAGGAGCCCCUGAUGUGUGAGUUUGUAUGGGGACGUUGCCCCUGAGGAGGGGUGACAGGAAGAGUCCCCUCCUGGUGAGCUGUGACCCUGAGCCAGUGGCUCUCUUAACUGUGAGAUGGAGACCCUCCUCCCCCGCCAGGGCUAGGAGAGGAGAACUGGCAGGCAAAGGGUCUGCUUGUUUCCCUGAAUAGAACUCAGGCUCCCUCCUGAGGGGUCCUUGCCGUCCCCACGCGGUCCCUCCCAGCCCUCAUGGUGCGCACCAGCAGUGCUGUCCCUCCUGCCCCGGGCCCUCGAGGGAGGAGGAAGACCUGAGUCCUGGGACUGGGCAGGGAGACAGGUCAGUCCCCGCUCCAGGAGUUCCUGGAGCCCUCGGGUCUACCCCGCUCUGACCAGCUGCUAUGGGUAGAGCAGAUCUGCGGGUGGUCCAGCAUCUCUGGGUCCUUCCCAGCAGUCCCAGGGUGUCUGUCACCGAGGAUGAGAGCCCAAAGGUCUGGCCCAGGAGCACCCGGUGGAGGUGGUGAGCCAGGGUCUGCCGAUGGCUCAUCUGAUUCCCAGAUGCAGAACUGCUUUCACACUACUGUGGCCUCCGCAAACCAGCGUUGUGCCCCCGCUACCUCUGCCACUCCCAGGGGGCCAAGUCCCGCACCUUCACUCUCUCAAGAUGGGAGCUGGAAGCCACCGCGGAACUAAAGUCUGGGAACCCCCCUUGGGCACUCAGGAUUCACCCGUACAUGUGGCUGGCACAGGCCUGUCCUCCAGGAGGCUGCAGACUGGGGAGCCAGGGGUGACAGCGCAGGCUGCCCGCACUUUGUGCGCAAAGCCAGGAGCACUCUUCAGUGAAGAGGAGGCUGCAUUGCGAGAACCCUGGACUGGGCGCUACGACCGCAGACUCAAGGCCGGGGCACCCCAGUUCUCACUGGGGGAUUGAGUGAGCCCUGACCCUCUCCUGGGCCUGCCUGUCAGCUCCUGUGCAGCGAUGGGCUGGACCCCGUGGGGCCUGAGGGCACCAUUUGUAGCUCUACUCUAGAUGCAAUUCCUGGUGAUCACAAAUGUCAAACAUAACCACUUCGACCCCCACAAACUGCCAGCUGCGAGCCCCUGAUAACAGAAGUGGCCGCACUCGCCGGAGCUCCCACCCUGGCCUGCCCUGGCACGCGCUGGUGGCUUUCCCCGGGCUCUCUGCUCAGGCCUUACCACCACCCUAGAAUGAUGGACAGGGGAAUUGCUCAGACAGACUGGGGACUCCGCAAGGGUGACAGAACGAACUUGCAUGUCCUGGCUCUUAGCUAGAGCGCUGUGCUGCAUUCAUACAGCUGGUCGCCGCCCCCAUGCCCUCACCGAUCUUAGUGCCACACCCCUCGCCUGGAGGUCCUGCUGCAGCCCUUGCUGCCCCAUAAGGCCUUACCAGGGAUGCGGGGUGAGCCCGGCCCCUCUCUGCCAUGAUGCACAGGUGUUCUGCACACACCUCAAGGGAGUCUUUGCUGCUCACUUCCUGCCUCUCCUUCCCCAGCCCCACCAACCAUCUGCCACUGCCUCUUCCCAAGCUGGGGAGGAACUGGAGAGCCUGGGCCUCCGGGGGACUGACUUCCUCCUACGGAACUCAAUAUUCCUCCACCUGCAGACAGGUUCCCGCCUCGUCCCAGGGUUGGUGGCAUCACGCACUGGAGCAGGAGGCCUCGUUUUCCUACUGACCUGUGCCUUGACCUUCCAGAGUCAACACAGUGGGGAUGGGGACAGGUUGAGGUUGUUUGUGAUAUGGUUUGACUCUGUGUCCCCACCCAAAUCUCAUGUUGAAUUGUGACCCCCAGUGUUGGAUGUGGGGCCUGGUGGGAGGUGAUUGGGCCUUGGGGGUGCUCUCUAAUGGUUUAGCACCAUCCGCAUACUGCUGUUUCGUGAUAGAGUUCUCAGGCGAUCUGGUUGUUGAAAGCACCUCCUGCUCCGCUGCCUCUCCUGCUGGCCAUGUGAAGACGUACCUGCUUCCCCUUCACCUUCUGCCAUGAUUGUAAGUUUCCGGAGGCUUUCCCAGCCAUGCUUCCUGUACAGCCUGCAGAACUGUGAGUCAAUUAAACCUCUUUUUUUUUUUUCAAAAAUUAUCCAGUCUCAGUUAUAUCUUUAUAGCAGUAUGAAAAUGGACUAAUACAGGUUGUCUUCAUCUUGGCAUUAACCUGGUAAUUAGGAAGAAAAAAGUCUCUGGGUCUUGGUCUCCCCAACUGCAAAAUUUGUGGGUGGGCCACUGCCACUUCACAGAGGCCUCCCUCAGCAGGGACAAAGUGAAAGCUCAUGGGGUGGUUUCUGGGCUGGGGCACUGGACCUGGCAACUGAUGGCAUCCAGCAUUUAUGGAACAAAUGAUGCUGGUACCCAGGGAUGCCAUGGGACUACUCCCACCUGGAGUAAACAUCAUUCAAACAAUGAGGGGAUGCCCCCCAGAUUCAAGAGAGUGCCACCCUGUAUUAGGCCAUUCUCACACUGCUACAAAAAAAUACCUGAGACCGGGUAAUUUACAAAGAAAAGAGGCUUAAUUGCCUCAUAGUUCCACAGGCUGUACAGGAAGCGUGAUGCUGGCAUCUGCUCGGCCUUUGGGGAGGCGUCAGGAAACUUACAAUCAUGGCGGAAGGGGAAAGGGAAGCAAGCAUGUGUUUUGUUGGUUUUUUUUUUUUUUUUUUUGAGACAGAGUUUCGCUCUUGUUGCCCAGGCUAGAGUGCAGUGGCACGAUCUCAGCUCACUGCAACCUCCGUCUCCCAGGUUCAAGCGAUUCUUCUGCCUCAGCCUCCUGAGUAGCUGGGAUUGCAGGCAUGUACCACCAUGCCUGGCUAAUUUUUGUAUUUUUAGUAGAGAUGGAGUUUCUCCAUGUUGGUCAGGCUGGUCUCGAACUCCCGACCUCAGGUGAUCUGCCCACCUUGGCCUCCCAAAGUGCUAGGAUUACAGACGUGAGCCACUGUGCCCAGCCUAAAGCAGGCAUGUCUUACAUGGCUGGAGCAGGAGGAAGUGGGGGCAGGGGAUGUGCCACACACUUUUAAACAACUAGAUGUCACUAGAACUAUCUAUUGCAGAGAUGGCACCAAGCCAUGAAGGAUCCACCUCCAUGACCCAAACACCUCCCAUUAGGCCCCACCUCCAAGACUAGGGACUACAAUUCAACGAGAGGUCUGGGCAGGAACAAAUACCCCAACUCUUAUCGUCAUCCAGAGGCUGUGUUACUAAGGUUUUGCUUUUAGUUUGCUGACGAGGCAGCAAGGAGUUUCAUGGCCCAGUUUGAAAGUAUUUAGAAGAAUGAGGCAGUCACCAUAGCCACUCUCCAGGGUUAGGCCCUAAGCUGUUGCAAAUAGGGGCUGGAAACCUUCCUUUAUUCAACAACAUAUAUCAAGGACCUACUACGUACUAGGCCCUAACCCUGAUGCUGGUAGUCCAUUUUAUUUUUCUGAAUCAGUCACCCUCCCUCGGCUCUAGUUCUCUGCCAAUGAUGACAUCGCAAGUUCCUCUUUAACCUCUCCUAGAUAAACUCCAGAGGGCCUCCGCAGUCUGCCUGCUCCACCCGCUUUCUCAGCUUCUCAGGAGUUUGAAGGAUUAGGGUUGAAGUUCCACUCCCUGCAUGAGCAGAUGUGUCAUUAUCUUGCCCCCAAAUUCCCCAGCCUGGUGGCUCCCCAGGAACCUCAUGCAGUCAGCGGGCUGGUCCCAGCUCUGUCCUGACCAGGAGCGUGGGGCAGGGUGGGCAAGGAGGGAGGCACAGUCAGGGUUUAUACACUCAGGGGGUGCAGCCCUUCCUGCAGAAUAAGUUACGCGUUUCAUCUGGAGGAGACACAGCAGGGUCCGUGUCCACGCCGUGACUCUGCAGAUGGGCCGCUGACAGUGUGGUUUCUUUCUUGGCAGCGUCCAGCUCUCCCGCAAGUGGCUGCAGAUCAAAGCAAGCAGCGGAAACCUCUGGGGGCCACAGCCUCCUGGGGACUGUGAAGCUGAACACCGCGUGGUGGGAGGAGCCCUGGCCGACAGAAAUGCACCCUCUCCCCAUUUCCAGGGUCAAGCCCCACUCCCAGCCCUGUGGGAGGAGGGAGCAGGAAGAACCCAGUGUGCGGGGCCAGAGUGCCUGGCUCGAAAUUAAUCUUGGUUCCCCCUGUGUGGCCUUUGGCAGGUGAUUCGCCCUCUCUAAGCCGCAGUUUUCUCCUCUGUAACACUGGAGUUUUAGCACCCAGGAGUAAGGGGCCUGGCACACAUGGGUGCUCCACAGGUGCCAGUUUCUUCCUCAGUGGCCCCUAAAAUCAGUUGCUUAAGCCAUACCGGAAGUCUCUAGUGGUUUAUCAGAAUACAAACUUCAGUGUCACAGCUGGGUUUGGCCGGGAUGGGUAUUGCGAUGUGGGAAGAAAGGAGAAUAGAGGGAUGGCAGCGGCACCUUGAAUGCUUCCUAGGGGCAUCUGGAUUUCGCCCUGGAGGCAGCAGGGGGCACAAAAAAGUUGUAAGCAGGGGCACCAUUUGUGUCCUGAGCAAGCAGUGGUCUCCGAGGGUAGGGAUUUUAGAAUCUGCUGGUGCAGUCUGGGUGCCGUGGCUCACACCUGUAAUCCCAGCACUUUGGGAGGCUGAGGCAGGAAGAUCGCUUGAGCCCACACGUUGGAGACCAGCCUGGGCAAUAUGGCAAAAUCCCAUCUCUACAAAAAAAUACAAAAAAAAAAAAAAAA
ensembl:lncRNA